GUUUGAUCNUGGCUCAGAUUGAACGCUGGCGGCAUGCCUUACACAUGCAAGUCGAACGGCAGCAUGAUCUAGCUUGCUAGAUUGAUGGCGAGUGGCGAACGGGUGAGUAAUACAUCGGAACGUGCCCUGUAGUGGGGGAUAACUAGUCGAAAGAUUAGCUAAUACCGCAUACGACCUGAGGGUGAAAGUGGGGGACCGCAAGGCCUCAUGCUAUAGGAGCGGCCGAUGUCUGAUUAGCUAGUUGGUGGGGUAAAGGCCCACCAAGGCGACGAUCAGUAGCUGGUCUGAGAGGACGAUCAGCCACACUGGGACUGAGACACGGCCCAGACUCCUACGGGAGGCAGCAGUGGGGAAUUUUGGACAAUGGGCGAAAGCCUGAUCNNGCNNNGCCGCGUGUGUGAAGAAGGCCUUCGGGUUGUAAAGCACUUUUGUCCGGAAAGAAAUGGCUCUGGUUAAUACCUGGGGUCGAUGACGGUACCGGAAGAAUAAGGACCGGCUAACUACGUGCCAGCAGCCGCGGUAAUACGUAGGGUCCAAGCGUUAAUCGGAAUUACUGGGCGUAAAGCGUGCGCANGCGGUUGUGCAAGACCGAUGUGAAAUCCCCGAGCUUAACUUGGGAAUUGCAUUGGUGACUGCACGGCUAGAGUGUGUCAGANGGGGGGUAGANNUCCACGUGUAGCAGUGAAAUGCGUAGA
rnacentral:rRNA from 1 species